rnacentral:rRNA from 1 species
CCCGCUGAACUUAAGCAUAUCAAUAAGCGGAGGAAAAGAAACCAACAGGGAUUGCCUCAGUAACGGCGAGUGAAGCGGCAUAAGCUCAAAUUUGAAAUCUGGCUCUUUCAGGGUCCGAGUUGUAAUUUGUAGAAGAUGUUUCGGGUGUGGUUCCGGUCUAAGUUCCUUGGAACAGGACGUCAUAGAGGGUGAGAAUCCCGUAUGUGACUGGAUACCUUCGCCCAUGUGAAACUCUUUCGACGAGUCGAGUUGUUUGGGAAUGCAGCUCAAAAUGGGUGGUAUAUUUCAUCUAAAGCUAAAUAUUGGCCAGAGACCGAUAGCGCACAAGUAGAGUGAUCGAAAGAUGAAAAGCACUUUGGAAAGAGAGUUAAACAGUACGUGAAAUUGUUGAAAGGGAAGCGCUUGCAAUCAGACUUGCGCCUAGUUAAUCAUCCGGACUUCUGUCCGGUGCACUUGAUUAGGCUCAGGCCAGCAUCGGUUUGGGUGGUUGGAUAAAGGCCUGAGAAAUGUAGCCUCCUUCGGGUGGUGUUAUAGUCUCAGGUGCAAUGCAGCCUACCUGGACCGAGGACCGCGCUUCGGCUAGGAUGCUGGCGUAAUGGUUGUAAGCGACCCGUCUUGAAACACGG